rnacentral:rRNA from 1 species
GGCGGACGGGUGAGUAAUGUCUGGGAAACUGCCUGAUGAGGGGGAUAACUACUGGAAACGGUAGCUAAUACCGCAUAACGUCGCAAGACCAAANAGGGGGGACCUUCGGGCCUCUUGCCAUCGGAUGUGCCCAGAUGGGAUUAGCUAGUAGGUGGGGUAACGGCUCACCUAGGCGACGAUCCCUAGCUGGUCUGAGAGGAUGACCAGCCACACUGGAACUGAGACACGGUCCAGACUCCUACGGGAGGCAGCAUG